UACGUAGGGGGCAAGCGUUGUCCGGAAUUAUUGGGCGUAAAGGGCGCGUAGGCGGAUAUUUAAGUCCGAUGUGAAAGAUCAGGGCUCAACCCUGAGAGUGCAUCGGAAACUGGGUAUCUUGAGGACAGGAGAGGAAAGUGGAAUUCCUAGUGUAGCGGUGAAAUGCGUAGAUAUUAGGAGGAACACCAGUGGCGAAGGCGACUUUCUGGACUGUAACUGACGCUGAGGCGCGAAAGCGUGGGGAGCAAACAGG
rnacentral:rRNA from 1 species